CUUGAAAAUUAAAAGAUAUCGAUACAGAGGGAGGAGCUGAGGUUUGUUAUCAAUGGAAAAUAAGGCUUGGAUAGCCAAGCACGAGCCAGGCGAAACUGUAGAGUGGUCAGUGCUGUUGACCGUUUCGACCCACUUGAUAUUUGACUCACUUAUUCUAACUCCCUCCCAUCAUUCUCUCAAUCUUCUUGCACCAGCCUUUCUCCGUGC
ensembl:ncRNA C09B8.15 ncRNA